rnacentral:lncRNA from 1 species
GUUGAUCUCAAAGAGAUCAACGGCCAGGAUCACACCCCCAGAUCCGUUAACCUGACCCGGUCCAUCCCCCCUACCCGGUCUCACCCACCAUCACCCUCAAACGACGUCGUCCCUCUUUAAUGAAUAGAUCAUGGCCCUUGAUCUCACAUGAUCCGACGGCCAGGAUCUAAACCUCUAAAUCAUAUAUAAAGCCCAACUUUGUUACCCCACCCCCUAUCCAAACACCCCCCGGCUUCAUCAUCUCCCAGAGACCAACCCUAACACCCAAACCCUAGCAGCCGCCAAAGCUUCCCUUUCACCUGAACCCGUCGGCAACAAUGCCUAUGACCACCAGACUAACACCCUUAAGACACAAGACCACCCGCAACCCCGAUCUGGUAAUGGUUUUGCUCGAAUCUUCCUGGAACGUCUCGAAUAAUCGUUUGAAGGUUCGAGCCGAAACCCUAAGUCACCGGAUGAGUCCCAAAUUCACCCUAGUCACUCCCCUAACAUCCAUCAUACCCUAAUCAGCUUUGGUUCCGGUCAAAUAUAAGCAGAACUCUUCGAAUCCCAAAUCUGAGUUCAAGAACCCUAAAAACCAAACCUGUUUCGUUUUGAGGUAAGUUUCCGGUGUAAUCGUCUUUUCUUUCCUUUUGUUUAGGUGUUAUGCAUAUGUUCGUGGAUUUGUUCUGGAUUUUUGAUUAUUUUUCUGUCCAUCUUCAAAGACCCUUUUGUUUGGUCGAUUUCUUUUCUUAAGUGUUAAUUGAGUGUUAUAAGGUGUCUAUUCGCUUCGAUUGAUGUUGUCGACUAGUUAAGUUUCGUAAAAUCCAUGUUAAAUUCCCCGAGUUUUGAAAUAAAUUGGUGCCCUGUUUAGUCUGUGUUGUUCGUCGAUUAAUUGUUACGUAUAAUAGUUCGUAUAGUCGAUUUGAGUAACGUCGUCAAAUAUUUAAGUUUCGUAAGUUCCAUUGUUGACAGAAAAAUGUCUGAAACACUCAGUUGUUCUGUUUUGAGUUUAGUUGAUUAGCGACUAAUUAGUAUACGUUAUAACUCGCGAAGUCGACUCGAUACAUGUUGUCGUUUGUUUCACAGUAUUAAAAUGACGAACGACCUAACUCUUACUGGCUGUUUUAGUUGAAGGGUCGUGUUGGACUGAUUAUAGGUCUGUUUGUUAGCUGUGGGAGGGGUUCGAACUAGUUCUCAAAUGGUUAAUAACUGGCAGAUACAAUAGAAUGAAAGGGUGGGUCAAGGCAGCAGUGAUCAAGGGUUUGUGGGGUAAUUUUGGUUGGGAAAAAAACUGAUUAAAUGUGCAGGAUUAAUGGGCUAUCAAUUGUUUAAUCAGAAAUACUAUUAAUCUAGUAUUAGUGGGGACAAAACAUAAGAGCAUGGGAGUUUAAAAUGAAUACUUAAAUGAACCCAUGACUCUUGAUUAGAGCAAUAGGCCAGGCAUGGGGAACCAGAUAACUUGCAUCAAGAAGAUGCUCAGGCAUGGGAAAUGAAGGGUAUGGGCAGACCUGGGGGCUGUGAAAUUCUAGGCAGACCUUAGGGCUUCCCUUUCAGGUUAUAAAUAGAGCUAUUUUUAGCUAAGAAAGGGCUGGACAUUUUUUAGACUUCAGAGGAAAAUCAAAAAGAAAAUUUCAGAAUAUUGUAACCAAACACUGUCUGAAAGCUGCAUAAGAGUUUAAGUUGGUCAAGUUGUCUUUGCCAAUUGUUGUUGGUUAUUUGCCGAGCUUUUUGUGAUUACUGGAUUGCUGUUGCUAUUGCAUUGAGUCUUCUAGGUCUUUCCUGCUGAUUGCAACUCUCUUUCUGGGUUUGUUUUGUGGUGCUCGAUCACCUUGGGUUAUCAUUAUUGAACUACUGUUGCCAUUGCGUUGAAUAUUCUGGUUGUCUCGACUGUUUUACUACUCUGUGCCCGGGAUUGUUUGCUUGGUGCUCGACCCCCGUGGGUUUCCUCGUUGUUGAAACUGUUGUUGGUUGUUUGUGGACUAUUGGUGACAUUGUUGCUGGUUGUUGUUGCUGUGUUGUUGCUGUUUGGUUGCCUGCUGCUGAUACUUUUCUUCUUCUCCUUUUUAUUGUCCAAACAUCCAGGUACACAUGCUAAAUUCACUAAUGUAAUGAUGAGUUUGGAGCUGAAUAAGAGCAUAAGAAGUAUUGCAGUCCAAACAUUAGCAUUGUUACCAUUAUUCUGUUGUUUGUAGUUUAGAAUAUUUGCGUGUUUAACUUGUAAAGUUUGGUUUUCAAACUAUGUAAUAAAACAGUUUUCAGUCCAUAAGGAGUUUGGUAUGGUAAUCUAUCGUUGUAUGUUAGUCAGAAAGAAGCUAGCUGGAUAGUAAUGAUACUCGGCCAACAAUGGUUUCACAUAGGG